CUCGAAAACCUGGCAAGAAGCAUCAAUCAGUUUGGAAUGCAAAAUUUCUCAAAAGGUAUGCCAUGGGAAGUGCAGCUCUCAGUCAUCUAUGCCAUUCAUGAUCUGGCACCCAGCAACCCUGAAGCAGCUCUGAAGACUUUGGAAUCAUGGAGGAAAAACAGCACACAGCGCGUUCCCCCAGCCGUCA